rnacentral:tRNA from 1 species
GGGGGCUCAGUGGUAGAGCACUUGCCUUGCAUGCAUGAGGUCAUGGGUUCGAUUCCUCAGCACCA